AGGAUGAACGCUGGCGGCGUGCCUAACACAUGCAAGUCGAACGUCCUGUCUCGCAAGAGGCAGGGAGUGGCGGACGGGUGAGUACCACGUGGGUCAUCUACCGUGAGGUGAGGAAUACCGGCGAGAAAUCGCCGACAAGACCGCAUAGGCUCGAUGCAAGUCGAGCAAAGCUCUUUCGAGAGAGGGAGCGCCACACGAGGAGCCUGCGCCCGAUUAGCUAGCUGGUGGAGUAACGGUUCACCAGGGCGACGAUCGGUAGCUGGUCUGAGAGGACGAUCAGCCACACUGGGAUUGAGAACGGCCCAGACUCCUACGGGGGGCAGCAGUGAGGAAUUUUCGUCAAUGGGGGCAACCCUGAACGAGCAACGCCGCGUGCAGGAGAAGGUUUCGGAUCGUAAACUGCUUUCUCGGGAAGAGAACGGACGGUACCCGAGGAAUCAGCCCGGCUAACUACGUGCCAGCAGCCGC
rnacentral:rRNA from 1 species